rnacentral:rRNA from 1 species
AAGUAUAUCAUUGUUGCGACCUCAGAUUAGGCGAGAUUACCCGCUAAAUUUAAGCAUAUUAAUAAGCGGAGGAAAAGAAACUAACAAGGAUACCCUUAGUAACGGCGAGCGAAAAGGGUAAAGCCCAGCGCUGAAUCUCAGGUCCCCCGGGUCUGAAGACAUGUAGCGUUUGGAACGGAACUAUGCCUGUGCUUGCGAUCCAUCCAAGUCCCUCUUGAAGGGGGCCAUAGCCCGAGGAGGGUGCUAGGCCCGUACGGUGGAUUGAAAUGAGUGCAGUGCGUUUCGUUUUUAGAGUCGAGUUGCUUGGGAGUGCAGCUCAAAUCAGGUGGUAAACUCCAUCUAAGGCUAAAUAUGACCACGAGACCGAUAGCGAACAAGUACCGUGAGGGAAAGUUGAAAAGAACUUUGAAGAGAGAGUUCAAUAGUACGUGAAACCUCUCGGGGGUAAGCGGGCAGAACUUGCAAGUAUUUUGUUGGGAAGAUUCAGGCUUGGACACGACCAUCCAUGGCUCUUAUGUAUAUGCUGUGUUCGCACAGUGUAAUUGUGAGCUGUGGACUUGGGAGUGGAUGCGCCGCAUUUCUUCUCAUCAUCCGGAUUGCGAGCAACUGAGUUUGACGGCAAUUUAUGUACUAUGGAUUAUUGCGGGCCCUUGUUGGUUCGAGUAGCUAAGUAUCUAAUUGCUAUUGCGGUUGUAAGAAUAAAAGCGAACAGGCCUUUAUUUUGGGCGGUCAGACUUGCACUCGAGUAUUGUGGGAGUGAUGUGUGGACGGGUAACCGUAGCACGUUGCUACCGCGAAUUGUCGGUGAGUAUGGUUCUGGCACUGUUUGUGGAUAUUGCAGUCUUAAGAAUGCGUGGUCUGCCUGUCCCGUCUUGAAACACGGACCAAGGAGUCUAACAUGUGCGCGAGUCAUUGGGAGAACCAAACUCAAAGGCGUAAUGAAAGUGAAGGUUUGAUUUGCAAACUUGAGGAGAGAUCCCUCACCUUAGUUUUGGUUCUGUAAAGUUCUGAGGCUGAGGCGGGCGCAUCUCCUGGGACGUCUAUACCUUCGAAGGUUGGGCGUACCUAGAGCGUACACGUUGGGACCCGAAAGAUGGUGAACUAUGCCUGGUCAGAACGAAGUCAGGGGAAACUCUGAUGGAGGUUCGUAGCGAUUCUGACGUGCAAAUCGAUCGUCAGAACUGGGUAUAGGGGCGAAAGACUAAUCGAACCAUCUAGUAGCUGGUUCCUUCCGAAGUUUCCCUCAGGAUAGCUGUCACUCGCAGUUAACCAGUCUCAUCCGGUAAAGCGAAUGAUUAGAGGCCUUGGGGCCGAAACGACCUCAACCUAUUCUCAAACUUUAAAUGGGUGAGAAGUCGAGCUUGCUUAAUCGAAGUUUCGACAAUGGAUGGAGAGUGACAAGUGGGCCACUCUUGGUAAGCAGGACUGGCGCUGUGGGAUGAACCAAACGUUGGGUUAAGGCGCCCGAAUCGACGCUCAUGAGAUCCCAUAAAAGGCGUUGGUUGCUUAAGACAGCAGGACGGUGGCCAUGGAAGUUGGAAUCCGCUAAGGAGUGUGUAACAACUCACCUGCCGAAGCAACUAGCCCUGAAAAUGGAUGGCGCUGAAGCGUCGUGCCCAUACCCAACCGUUGAGUCACAGUAGGGCUUCGGCUCCGCGAGGACUCAACGAGUAGGAAGGUCGUGGCGGUGUGCGUAGAAGGGUCUGGGAGUAGUCCUACCUGGAGCCGCCGUCAGUGCAGAUCUUGGUGGUAGUAGCAAAUACUUUGGAGAGGCCCCGAAGGACCGAUGUGGAGAAGGGUUUCGUGUGAACAGCCGUUGAACACGAGUGAGUCGAUCCUAAGCCCGACGAGAAGUCGGUAUCACUGUAGAGGAGUUUUAUUUAAAAUGGAAUCCUCUUUAAGAGAUAUAAGGCGAAAGGGAAUCUGGUUUCAAUUCCAGAACUCGGUGACGGAACCGCUCUUUUCGGUGUAUGCAUUUAUGUGUACAUCGUCGGGGUAACCCAAAAAGACCUGGAGAUGCCAACAGAACUCUUGGGGAGAGUUAUCUUUUCUGCAUGAGCAACUAAGCGCCCUGGAAUUCCUUCACGGAGAGAUAGGGUCAAGGUUGCCCAGAGCGCCGCAGUUAUUGUGGUGUCCAAGUUGUUUUGUUGGACCUUGAAAAUCCAGGAGAUGGUCACGGGAGUGUCGCACCGAUUCGUACCCAUAUCCGCAGCAGGUCUCCGAGGUGAGCAGCCUCUGGUCGAUAGAACAAUGUAGGUAAGGGAAGUCGGCAAAUUAGAUCCGUAACUUCGGGACAAGGAUUGGCUCUGAGGAUUGGGGGAGUCGGGCCGGAUCAGGAAAUGGUGUGUGCUCACGUGCUGGGCCUGGACGAGGUCUUCACGGACCGAGUUCGGUCCCUUGCCGCGGCCUACUAUGGAGAGUUUCGGCUAGGAAUACCUCGCAAGGGGAAUCAUACUCUUCGGCUUCCAUUAAACAAUCAACUCAGAACUGGCACGGACAA